rnacentral:lncRNA from 1 species
UUCACGACUCUGAGAACAAGGAGUUGCUCAACAUCCAUUAUGUAUGCUCAAGAUAAAUGUGACUUUGAAAUGUAUGUUAGCUACUGUACAUGUAUGUAAGUCAAGUAGAUGAUAGCCUUCCUGAAACUACCACUAAUAAUAUUUUCCCAUGUGCUACUUACACAAGCUUAAAUUCUAGUUCAGCAAAUGUUUUUCAUUAUUUUUUCUUACGGUUUAUUCAAUAGAGGGUACCUAGAAAAAUAUUCAGUGUGAUGGUCAACAUAUUGAGUGUUCAAGUAGGGGAUAUUUACUUUGGCAAUACAUACUGUGCAUUAUUGGUUCAGAUGCCAAUUCAUGAGACAUUAUCAUAGGAAAUGGAUAAUAUAAGAACAUGGCUCUAAGGGUCCUUCUCCACAGGCAAGCAUAGAAUUUGAGGUUCUUCAUGGGUCCCAAAACUUGCUUAGUGUUAUAUACUUAACUUCCUUCACUGAAGUAUCAAGCAAUUCUAACACACCGUUUAACAACUUUCUACCAUCAGUGCCUGCAUUUUAUUGAAGUUUGAUGUCUCUGGUACAAGGAAAUAGAGAAAGCUGAACAGUUUCUGUUGGGAGAAAAAGUUUCUGUAAUUAUUGUCAAUUCUAAGUUGUGAUGAAUAUAACUUUUCAUCUAUACAGUUCCUUACUCAUGGUCUCUAUUUAAAAGCAUAGGAUCUUUUAAGAUAUACUUUUAGCUGAGUCUUCACUGUAUGUUCAUGAAUAAUAUAAUUUAGUGAAAAACUUUAGUACAUCAUAUGUAUGGUAACUGACAUUUGCAGAUUAUUAUCAAACCAAAUCAUAAGAAAUAAUAUCUUCAGAUCACAUGAUGGCUUACCGAACAAUUUCAGGUUAUAGCAUGAUGUCUUUCUGAUUGUCUUCAGUAUAUGAUCAUAAGCAAUUAUAUUGUGUCCAUACAGUUUACAUACUGUGAUUCCCGCAAAAUCUUGCAUCUGAUAUCUACCAUGAAGAUGAAAUAAUAUGCUAUGAAUUUCAGGCAUAGACAUACUAUCAGCAAUAGAAAGCCUUCAUCAUCUAGAUAUCUGGAUAAAUCCAUUCAUCGUCAACCAUCAGAUUGUUAACUGGGGAACACGUACCUCCCUCACAAAUGCUUUCUUUUCGUCUUGUAGUUGAUUGAAUGUGAUAGGAAAUCUGCUGAGUUGACUCUUCUGUGGGCCUGAGCAGAAACAUGCAUAAGCCAUCAGAAGGAAGUCUGGAUGGGAAGGAAACCUUGUCUUUCACUCGUAGGCAAUACUGCUGUGUAGUCACGGCAGACCCAAGCACAGCUUCUUUCAGAACAUGCAAAGUCUCCUUAUGAAAUAUACACAUCAGUGCCCAAACUCAGGUGUACCAGUGUAAAGCGUAGGGUUUGCCUACCCUUUUUUCAUAUCAUUUUACAUAAGCAAGUUAGGAGACUACAGGGCUAUGAAAAUAAAUGUUUCCUUAACAGGAUUUGGAGCAAGUUCACGGGAGUACAUAGGACAGUCGAGCCCAGUGUAAACACUACCAAAGGAAAGGACAGCCUUGCAGAAGCGUGAGCUCCGACUAACAGAGCGGCUUAAGUAUGCUCUGUGAUACAGCUUAAUGCACUCCCUAUUCAAAUCCCACUGUCAAUGGGAUUUAAGUUGCCAGUUUAUAUGUGAUUUCAUGGAACACAACCAAGUUCUACUUAAUACCUUUAUGCAAUUUUUUUUUCACUGAUGAAAAAUCAAUAUCCACAUCAAUGGGUGCCCAGCUGCGGAUCACCUCUCCUAAAAAGCGAUCUUGUCAGUAUUGAAGAAAUGUAGAACCAUAAUUUUCACUACUAAUAUCAUUUUGCUCAACUACUUCUGUAUAUUGUGGAAAAAGGGGUGGGGCCGGGGGAAUGUGUGUUUCCACAUUUUCUGAGAGGUGAAAAUAUUUUUGUGUUGCUUUGUCCUAAUGGGUACUUCAAAUGAAACACCAUACAAUUUUAAAUGACAUGCAAUUAACGAAUAUUUUUUACUCUCAUAACAUUAAAAGCAUUUGUUGUGAUUUUCAAGUGUUACAAGAUAGAUUUUUGUGGUCGUGGGUAGACGUUUUAUACUUUGUUUUAUAGAUGGAUUUUUUUCCCACUGUCGUUUACUUGAGUGGACAAACAGUAUCCCAAGUCUCAAAGUGUUUCAUUGGAUGUUGUUAGAUCAGCAAAGAAAUUGGCAGAAAAUUGAUUCAUAGUAUUGUCAAAGAAUUGUGUAUUGUGUAUUCACUGGGAAAAAUAAAAAAUAUAUUCACAUUCCAAUUUUGUAAAAAAAAAAACAAAAAGCCAUUUAUGUAAACAAAUUUCUCUGUGGACAAACCAAAAAUAGAUCCUUGUGUCACUUUUAGGACUCUGUGACUAUUUUGUGGCCCAAUAUUCAUAUUUCUUUUUUUCUAAUUUAAAUAUGGAUCAGAAGUGCUUGGUAAGAAAUAAUACAUAGUCAUAAUUAAAGACAGCAAUAAAGGCUGCAAGUAUU